rnacentral:rRNA from 1 species
CCUACGGGAGGCAGCAGUAGGGAAUCUUCCACAAUGGGCGAAAGCCUGAUGGAGCACCGCCGCGUGGGUGAAGAAGGUCUUCGGAUCGUAAAACCCUGUUGUUAGAGAAGAAAGUGCGUGAGAGUAACUGUUCACGUUUCGACGGUAUCUAACCAGAACGCCACGGCUAACUACGUGCCAGCAGCCGCGGUAAUACGUAGGUGGCAAGCGUUAUCCGGAUUUAUUGGGCGUAAAGGGAACGCAGGCGGUCUUUUAAGUCUGAGGUGAAAGCCUUCGGCUUAACCGGAGUAGUGCAUUGGAAACGGGGAGACGUGAGUGCAGAAGAGGAGAGUGGAACGCCAUGUGUAGCGGUGAAAUGCGUAGAUAUAUGGAAGAACACCAGUGGCGAAAGCGGCUCUCUGGUCUGUAACUGACGCUGAGGUUCGAAAGCGUGGGUAGCAAACAGGAUUAGAUACCCUUGUAGGC